GGACUAUUCCUUACCUGGUUUUGAAUGGGUCUAACUGAAUCCAAGAAGAGUCCUCUUGAUGAGCACUGAGGAAUAGAGAGCAAAGAGAAAACUGGAGCUGUGGUUCUUUACCCCAGCCCGAGUACAAAACUGGUGUACAAAUAUCACAAAGAGUGGGAAAAAGAAUGAAUGCUGCCUGCUUACGUCUCAAGGGUGGUAGAAGCCUGGUAGAAGGGGACAAGAGAGUACCUCAGGGAGCUGGCUGGCAAAAAGAGCAAGGAAUUAUCUGAAACAGGAAUGUG